GCCAGCAUGACAUAGUGGUUUGAGUGCUGGACUGUGAUUUUUUGAGACCAGGGUUCAAUUCCCAGCUCAGGUA